rnacentral:rRNA from 1 species
UACGGGAGGCAGCAGUGAGGAAUAUUGCACAAUGGGGGAAACCCUGAUGCAGCAACGCCGCGUGGAGGAUGACGCAUUUCGGUGUGUAAACUCCUUUUAUAAGGGAAGAAAAUGACGGUACCUUAUGAAUAAGCACCGGCUAACUCCGUGCCAGCAGCCGCGGUA